rnacentral:rRNA from 1 species
AAGACUAUCAAACUCCGAAUGCCGUCAUCUUAUACUUGGGAGUCAGACUGUGGGUGAUAAGAUUCAUAGUCGAAAGGGCAACAGCCCAGAUCGUCAGCUAAGGUCCCUAAAUGUAAGUUAAGGGGUAAAGGAUGUGGGAUUGCACAGACAACCAGGAUGUUGGCUUAGAAGCAGCCACUCAUUCAAAGAGUGCGUAAUAGCUCACUGGUCGAGUGAUCCU